rnacentral:rRNA from 1 species
AGAGUUUGAUCCUGGCUCAGGAUGAACGCUAGCGACAGGCCUAACACAUGCAAGUCGAGGGGCAGCACAGAUAGCAAUAUUGGGUGGCGACCGGCGCACGGGUGAGUAACGCGUAUGCAACCUACCUACUACAAGAGGAUAACCCGUUGAAAGGCGGACUAAUACUCUAUAAGACAGGGGAUCCGCAUGGAUAUAUUUGUUAAAGAUUAAUUGGUAGUAGAUGGGCAUGCGUUCCAUUAGCUUGUUGGUGAGGUAACGGCUCACCAAGGCAACGAUGGAUAGGGGAACUGAGAGGUUGAUCCCCCACACUGGAACUGAGACACGGUCCAGACUCCUACGGGAGGCAGCAGUGGGGAAUAUUGCACAAUGGGCGCAAGCCUGAUGCAGCCAUGCCGCGUGUAUGAAGAAGGCCUUCGGGUUGUAAAGUACUUUCAGCGAGGAGGAAGGCGUUGUAGUUAAUAACUGCAGCGAUUGACGUUACUCGCAGAAGAAGCACCGGCUAACUCCGUGCCAGCAGCCGCGGUAA